rnacentral:rRNA from 1 species
GACGAACGCUGGCGGCGUGCUUAACACAUGCAAGUCGAACGAUGAAGCCGGAGCUUGCUCUGGUGAAUUAGUGGCGAACGGGUGAGUAACACGUGAGUAACCUGCCCUUGACCCUGGGAUAACUGCGGGAAACUGUAGCUAAUACCGGAUACGACCCUCGGAGGCAUCUCCUGGGGGUGGAAAGAAUUUCGGUCAAGGAUGGACUCGCGGCCUAUCAGCUAGUUGGUGAGGUAAAGGCUCACCAAGGCGACGACGGGUAGCCGGCCUGAGAGGGUGACCGGCCACACUGGGACUGAGACACGGCCCUGACUCCUACGGGAGGGAGCAGUGGGGAAUAUUGCACAAUGGGCGCAAGCCUGAUGCAGCAACGCCGCGUGAGGGAUGACGGCCUUCGGGUUGUAAACCUCUUUUAGUAGGGAAGAAGCGAAAGUGACGGUACCUGCAGAAAAAGCACCGGCUAACUACGUGCCAGCCGCCGCCGUAA